UACGUAGGGUGCGAGCGUUAAUCGGAAUUACUGGGCGUAAAGCGUGCGCAGGCGGUUCGUUAAGUUCGUUGUGAAAGCCCCGGGCUCAACCUGGGAACUGCAAUGGAAACUGGCGGGCUUGAGUGUGGCAGAGGGGGGUGGAAUUCCGCGUGUAGCAGUGAAAUGCGUAGAGAUGCGGAGGAACACCGAUGGCGAAGGCAGCCCCCCUGGGCCAACACUGACGCUCAGGCACGAAAGCGUGGGGGAGCGAACAGG
rnacentral:rRNA from 1 species